rnacentral:rRNA from 1 species
AACCGGGAGAUAGCUGGUUCUCCCCGAAAGCUAUUUAGGUAGCGCCUCGUGAAUUCAUCUCCGGGGGUAGAGCACUGUUUCGGCUAGGGGGUCAUCCCGACUUACCAACCCGAUGCAAACUGCGAAUACCGGAGAAUGUUAUCACGGGAGACACACGGCGGGUGCUAACGUCCGUCGUGAAGAGGGAAACAACCCAGACCGCCAGCUAAGGUCCCAAAGUCAUGGUUAAGUGGGAAACGAUGUGGGAAGGCCCAGACAGCCAGGAUGUUGGCUUAGAAGCAGCCAUCAUUUAAAGAAAGCGUAAUAGCUCACUGGUCGAGUCGGCCUGCGCGGAAGAUGUAACGGGGCUAAACCAUGCACCGAAGCUGCGGCAGCGACACUGUGUGUUGUUGGGUAGGGGAGCGUUCUGUAAGCCUGUGAAGGUGGCCUGUGAGGGUUGCUGGAGGUAUCAGAAGUGCGAAUGCUGACAUAAGUAACGAUAAAGCGGGUGAAAAGCCCGCUCGCCGGAAGACCAAGGGUUCCUGUCCAACGUUAAUCGGGGCAGGGUGAGUCGACCCCUAAGGCGAGGCCGAAAGGCGUAGUCGAUGGGAAACGGGUUAAUAUUCCCGUACUUGGUGUUACUGCGAAGGGGGGACGGAGAAGGCUAUGUUGGCCGGGCGACGGUUGUCCCGGUUUAAGCGUGUAGGUGUGUGUUCCAGGUAAAUCCGGUUCACUUUAACACUGAGGCGUGACGACGAGGCACUACGGUGCUGAAGCAACAAAUGCCCUGCUUCCAGGAAAAGCCUCUAAGCAUCAGGUAACAUCAAAUCGUACCCCAAACCGACACAGGUGGUCAGGUAGAGAAUACCAAGGCGCUUGAGAGAACUCGGGUGAAGGAACUAGGCAAAAUGGUGCCGUAACUUCGGGAGAAGGCACGCUGACACGUAGGUGAAGUGAUUUACUCACGGAGCUGAAGUCAGUCGAAGAUACCAGCUGGCUGCAACUGUUUAUUAAAAACACAGCACUGUGCAAACACGAAAGUGGACGUAUACGGUGUGACGCCUGCCCGGUGCCGGAAGGUUAAUUGAUGGGGUCAGCGCAAGCGAAGCUCCUGAUCGAAGCCCCGGUAAACGGCGGCCGUAACUAUAACGGUCCUAAGGUAGCGAAAUUCCUUGUCGGGUAAGUUCCGACCUGCACGAAUGGCGUAAUGAUGGCCAGGCUGUCUCCACCCGAGACUCAGUGAAAUUGAACUCGCUGUGAAGAUGCAGUGUACCCGCGGCAAGACGGAAAGACCCCGUGAACCUUUACUAUAGCUUGACACUGAACAUUGAGCCUUGAUGUGUAGGAUAGGUGGGAGGCUUUGAAGCGUGGACGCCAGUCUGCGUGGAGCCGACCUUGAAAUACCACCCUUUAAUGUUUGAUGUUCUAACGUGGACCCGUGAUCCGGGUUGCGGACAGUGUCUGGUGGGUAGUUUGACUGGGGCGGUCUCCUCCUAAAGAGUAACGGAGGAGCACGAAGGUUGGCUAAUCCUGGUCGGACAUCAGGAGGUUAGUGCAAUGGCAUAAGCCAGCUUGACUGCGAGCGUGACGGCGCGAGCAGGUGCGAAAGCAGGUCAUAGUGAUCCGGUGGUUCUGAAUGGAAGGGCCAUCGCUCAACGGAUAAAAGGUACUCCGGGGAUAACAGGCUGAUACCGCCCAAGAGUUCAUAUCGACGGCGGUGUUUGGCACCUCGAUGUCGGCUCAUCACAUCCUGGGGCUGAAGUAGGUCCCAAGGGUAUGGCUGUUCGCCAUUUAAAGUGGUACGCGAGCUGGGUUUAGAACGUCGUGAGACAGUUCGGUCCCUAUCUGCCGUGGGCGCUGGAGAACUGAGGGGGGCUGCUCCUAGUACGAGAGGACCGGAGUGGACGCAUCACUGGUGUUCGGGUUGUCAUGCCAAUGGCACUGCCCGGUAGCUAAAUGCGGAAGAGAUAAGUGCUGAAAGCAUCUAAGCACGAAACUUGCCCCGAG